CCGAGCCUGCCUGUAGCUCUACUACAGGGACGGCGAGCUGAGCGUGAGCAGACGCGUGCAGCACGAGGUGCCUCUGUUCCGCUGCUCUGUCCUAACCGGCCCACGCCUGGUCGGAUUUGGUUCUGAGAUCUUGUCCGAUCUUUCUCUGGCGCGGUUUCAAGGCUGAAUAAUGCGCGAACAGCCACGGUGGCCGACUCGUUCCGUAGGUGUCGCUGGCCUGAUGGGAUCUGAGGGGUGAUUUGGCGGAGCAGUCCUGCACACCGGCUAGAUCUGUUGGCAGACGGACUGCAGUUAACCCAGUUUUUCACCGUUUUGAACUAAAGGAGCUUUGCAAAUCGCUGCGUCCAGGCGUUCUGUCGCUGCCGCUGGGAAAGGCAGAACCACUCAGCUCGUUACUUCGGCGCAUCACGAGAGGGCGCUCAGGGAGAGCUGAAAGCGCGCCCUGCUGCGCGGGUUCGAUUCUCUGCUGCGCGUCCCGUGUUUGGGGGGAGUGCGAGCGUGGAUGCGAGCGGAGCGGGCACGGUGCGGGCGAGAAUGAGAGACGAAGGCUGAACUGCUUAAAGACUGAAGCAGUGUGAAGGCUUCUCGUUAUCAAACCAGCAGCAAGCUACAGAGUUCUUACUGCAGAAUACCAAAAAAGAAUUAAUGUUCAUAUCCUUGAAAAGCCCAGGGACAAACCGCAUAGCAGUGUUUUCAGCUCACUCCCAACUAGUGCAGCUAAAGGGAAAGGCACUCAGUGAUCUGCUGGGCAAAACGUGAGCCUUCUCCCCUUGAAUUCUGACCCGUGUGCUUGCUUCAGACAGCAGCUAAUCGGUGUCAUUGUCUGCACUGAAAAUUACAUCCUCUGUUAUAGCUCUUCUGUACCUGUUGGCUAGGCAUAAAAGCCUAGCCAACAUUGGGAUCACAAUUGUUUGUUCACUUUUUAUUAAAAGAAAUGGAAACAGAAAA